UCAUGUCAAUUUUAGGAAAAC
rnacentral:piRNA from 1 species